GCCUGGGUGGCUCAGUCAGUUGAGCAUCUGACUUCAGCUCAGGUCGUGAGUUCGAGCCCCGUGUCGGGCU
rnacentral:tRNA from 1 species